rnacentral:lncRNA from 1 species
UUAAUUCAAACCUUACGAUUUAGAGUUAAGGGGUGGAGUUUUGGAAUUAGGGUUUAAAAUUUUAUAAAAAAUAAAUACUAAAAUAAAAAAUAAAAAUUUAAAAACAGUUUCAAAAAAUAUUUUUAAAUUAUAAAAAGAAAAUUUGAAAAAAAUAAAAAAAAAAUUCGAAAAAAAAAUUACAAAAAAAAAAUUUAUAAAAUUUCGAAUCUGAAAACAUAUAAUCUGAAACUAUAAAUUUUUUUUUUUUUAAUUUAUUUUUGUUUGUUUAUUUAAUUUUAAACCAAAGGUAUUAGGGAUAUUUUACCCUUUAAUGAAUGUCAUUUUUGUGACUUUCUUCUUCUAGUGCUAUUUUUGAGACAUAAACUUCAAAAAGUGUUAUUAUUGACAAUUGCCCUAAAAAU